GAGAAAAUACAUAUAGAUAUACAUGUGUGUACUUUCCUAUGUCUACAGAUUUUGAAAAAGAUUGUCACACCUUUGUCUCUAGUGUGGUCCUUCUCAAAAAUCUGGAAAGGGAUGACUUCAGUUCUCAAAGACAAACAAAGUUCAUUACAACUACUGAAUCAUUACUGGCACAACGAAGAAGAUACAAACCACCUAAGAGCUACAGAGAUUGUGAGCCCCAGCUACCAAGUCUGACUCAUUAGCUCGAGUUCUGGAGGAUCCAGGCUCUGCCCUGAGUCCCCGGUACUACUGUUCAAGUGUGAGGACCACGAGUGAAGUCUUCACAUGUACACAGGCACAUUUGUUUAGGUAAGAUAUUCACUGAACAGAAGAUCUAGAACAAAAUAUGCUCCAAAACUAAGAACAUAUCACUAUCAUUAAAACAAAUUUUCAUAGCCUGUAUGUAAUCCUUUCUGAUAGCCCACUACCUCCUACAGAAGUUGUUAAAAAAAAAAAAAAACACACUCCCCAAAGCCACUUUUUAUUAUCUUUACUUGAGACAAAUGAAUGCACCCAUUUGUUUGUACAUAAUGUACAAAGCAGCAGAAUCACCAUCUCUUAGAAUGCCAAAGAACCUCUCAAUUGAAACAUCUUUUUUUGUAAUCUCACUGUCCACUGCUGGAGAAGUAGCUGGUCAGCCCUCCGAGAC
rnacentral:lncRNA from 1 species